CAAAUAGGUUUCUGUCUUCGAAAAAAAAAUAUUUCAAGUUUGCUAUCGGAAGUAAACUCUUAAAAUGUUGAUAAAAUGGUAUCAACCGCUUGCCGGUUUUACUAAACAGAAAAAUAUAAGAUAAAACAAAUCGGUUUUGUUAUUUAUGCCAUACGGAGAAUCUGCAAUUGGACACAGCAGAGAAGUAGAUACUUUAUAAGAGAACAUGAUAAAAUAAUAAAAAGUACCCCUGUGGGUAGGGGUUAGAAUAUGCCCACCGUCCGACCCCGCGUGUCGUAAAAUGCGACUAAAGGGGUCAUCUGGAACCAUUCGGUGGUUGUCGUGUCCGUCACUGGGGUCUCAUUCGCGGGUUCCCAUACGGAACCGGGACUGCUUGCGAUGCUCAAAUCCGUCCCUAGGGUCUGCGAUGGGACUCCAUACGGAUAACGGACCGCCCAGCGGAUUCGUCCGCAGCAUUCCGCGUACUUCUGUACAGUCCCUCGGAGGACAAAGCCUUC
rnacentral:lncRNA from 1 species